rnacentral:rRNA from 1 species
AGCGAACGCUGGCGGCAGGCCUAACACAUGCAAGUCGAACGAACUCUUCGGAGUUAGUGGCGGACGGGUGAGUAACACGUGGGAACGUGCCUUUUGGUUCGGAAUAACUCAGGGAAACUUGUACUAAUACCGAAUGUGCCCUUCGGGAGAAAGAUUUAUCGCCAUUAGAGCGGCCCGCGUCUGAUUAGCUAGUUGGUGAGGUAACGGCUCACCAAGGCGACGAUCAGUAGCUGGUCUGAGAGGAUGACCAGCCACACUGGGACUGAGACACGGCCCAGACUCCUACGGGAGGCAGCAGUGGGGAAUCUUGCGCAAUGGGCGAAAGCCUGACGCAGCCAUGCCGCGUGAAUGAUGAAGGUCUUAGGAUUGUAAAAUUCUUUCACCGGGGACGAUAAUGACGGUACCCGGAGAAGAAGCCCCGGCUAACUUCGUG